rnacentral:rRNA from 1 species
UACGGAGGGUGCAAGCGUUGUCCGGAUUUAUUGGGUUUAAAGGGUGCGUAGGCGGCUUUUUAAGUCAGUGGUGAAAUUUUCCAGCUUAACUGGAAACGUGCCAUUGAUACUGGAAGGCUUGAGUAUAGGCGAGGUUGGCGGAAUUGACGGUGUAGCGGUGAAAUGCAUAGAUAUCGUCAAGAACACCGAUUGCGAAGGCAGCUAACUAGACUAUAACUGACGCUGAGGCACGAAAGUGCGGGGAUCGAACAGG